GGCAGGCGCAGCCUGGGCUGAGUUUGCAGGGCUGCUCCCCUCACCCAACCCCUUGGAGUCCUCUGCGCGCUACGCCCCACCCGACCCGUGGGGGAGGUUCCGUCCCGCCGCCUUCGCCCGCGCGCUGCACUCGCGGACGGUCUCUGCUCGCCUUGGGCGCGCCCUGGGGCGCCGGGCUGCGCUGGCGCUGCUGCUCCUCGGCCUGCUCCGUCCUCUGGUGGCCGCCCCGGGGCUGACUUUGACUUAGCGAUGCCUUUCGUGAUGGAGGAAACAGUGACCCAGCACCACCUAAUCCUCCCAAACCAAAGCCAGAUCCAAACCCCAACCGACCUGGUUUCACUGGGGCUGACUUUGACUUAGCAGAUGCCUUUGGUGAUGGAGGAAACAGUGACCCAGCACCACCUAAUCCCCCCAAACCAAAGCCAGAUCCAAAUCCCAACUGACCUGGUUUCACUGAUAAGAGCCUCUAACCCUACGGAGUGGUCUCUGUGUUGUUUACCUGGCAGUGAUGUCCGUGUCAUCUGAGAAGAGGAGAUUUCAGGUGACCCAGCACCUCCUAAUUCACCCAAGCCGAAGCCAAAUGCGAACCCUGAGCAGCCUGGAUUCAUUGGGGAUGACUUUGACUUAGCAGAUGCCUUACAUGACAGAAGAAAUUAUGAGCCAGCACCACUGAACCCACCCAAACCAAAGCCAAAUCCAAACCCCAAGCAGCCUGAUUCCACCGGGGCUGACUUUGAUUUCACAGAUGUUUCUUCGUGGUGAAUGAAACAAUGCUAAGCAACAUGAGAGUGAGUGUCUGGCCAUGGUUUGCUCAUCUGUGCAUCUCCAGGACUGGCUGGGUUCCUGGGUGUGAAGAAGCAGAGGUCCACACACAUGGGUGAAUCUGUGCUGCUUCUCACCACCACACUGCUUGGCUUCCUUAUUUCCUUCCUGUCACCUGGAAUGCCUACCCUGUACUUCUCUCCAGCGCCAACACCAUCAUUUACCACCUCGUUCAGCUCCCAGGCAUCCUAGAAGCCUUUCCUGACCACAGGGAUGCAUCGUGGUGCACAAUUCCUGCAGCUGCCACUAUGGUGCAAGAUGAGUCUAGAAGAACAGUUUUGCUGUGCAGUCACCCUUACUCGCUAUUGUGAUUUUGCCUUUAACAUAUUGAAAAAGACACAGAAAACACACACCAUCCGAUCAUUUAGUUGCAGGCACAUCGUGCGAUGCUAAGAAUUUGCUGUGUUUUAAAUUGGUGUCUGUUGACUCUUCAGCUUCUGCUCCAGGCUUCUUAUGUCCCCACUCAGCCCUGAAUCCCAUUCCCCCUAAUCUCGGUAACUUUGGUGGCUUUUGCACCAGCCAAAAUCAGAUCCUAGGUCUUGAGCAAAACCAAGAGCAAGGAAAAAAAUCCCCCAUGGGAAUCUGAGACCUCACUCUAAUGACUUCAGUUGCUGUUGACUUGAUUUCCUUCAACUGCUGAAGGAGGUUAGAUCAGUUUCCUCUUGCUUCUAGGAUAAAGCAUCGCAGACUUUGCAGCUUAAAACAGUGCACAUUUCUUUGCUUACAGUUCUGGAGGUAAGAAGUCUGAAAUUAGUUUCCUGGGGCUCCCAUCAAGGUGUCAGCAGGGCUGGCUUCCUUCUGGAGGCUCUAGGAGAGAAAGGGUUUGCUUGAUAUUUCCAGCUUCUAGAGGCUGCGUACAUGCCUUGUUAUGUGGCUGCUCCCUCCAUCUUCAAAGCCAGCAGUGUAGCAUCUUCCAAUCUCUCUCUAACACGGACCCUCUUGCUUCCCUCUUUCAAUGAUAAGGACCCAUGUGAUGACAUUGGUCCUACUUGGGUAAUCCAGUAAUGUCUUCUCAUCUCAAGCUCAGCUGAUCAGCAACCUUCAUUCCAUCUGCAACCUUCAUUUCCCUUGCACAGGUUCUGGGAAUCAGGACAUGGAUAUCUUUGGGGCCUGCUAUUGCUUCUACCUACAACUGGUGUUACAAGACUUGGCCCACUUAAUCUUGCAAAUCCUUUCUGCCCCUCUUAAUGAGAUCUGUUCUCUAUGAAUGUUCAGGACCUCAGGAGUAGGGACCCCAAAGGCUGGGAGCAAAGUAGAUGUGACAGGUACCAAGCAUAGGAUGUGUGACCAGAUUCGGUCAUGUGAUUACAUUGUGAGGUGACCCAGGCAUUUUCAUUAGGAAGGAAAAUGGUUGUAGGAGGAGGAAAUUGAACACAACCCACACAUGGGUGGUUGGAAAAUCUGAGAGCUCUCGUGGGCAUGCUCACCCAUUUCACUCACCAUGGUACAGGGGAAAUUCUUAGACCUGUCAGUGCAACUAUUUGAAAUAAACAUCCAAGAAAGUCGGCAAACUUCAGGUAGGAUGAAGUCAGAGAUCCACCCUGAAGCACAGUGAAAGCCACAAGACAGAAGUGACUGAUCCCAUCCCAGGGAUCCUAAAGAAGAUUAUCAUCAGACUUCCCAUUGGAAACUUUGGAAGCCGGACACCAGUAGUAGUCUGAUAAAUUCAAAAUGCUAAAAAACAAAACCAAUGAAAACAUGCUAACCAAGAAAAAAAAAUGCUACAUGGCUGAAGAAAUCAUGCAGAAAUUUUAGCAACAUUUUAAAUGAUCCAACAAGGUCUGUUGUUUCUGCGCAGAUAUGGGCAAACAUGAGCUUGUAUAGCUUAUUUUUAUGGGUGCAAGGAGCAUGCAGUUAUCUCCACUAGCAUGUUUUUUGUUUGUUUGCUUUGAGAUGGAUUCUCACUCUGUCGCCCAGGCUGGAGUGCAGUGGCACAAUCUUGGCUCACUGCAACCUCCGUCUCCCAGGUUCAAGCAGUUCCCUGCCUCAGCCUCCCGAGUAGCUGGGAUUACAGGUGCCCACCACCACGCCUGGCUAAUUUUUGUAUUUUUAGUAGAGAUGGGGUUUCAGCAUCUUGGCCAAGGCUGGUCUUGAACUCCUGACCUCGUGAUCCACCCACGUCAGCCUCCCAAAGUGCUGGGAUUACAGGUGUGAGCCACCGCGCCCAGCCUGUUUUUCUUUUUAACUCAUGCAUAGGUUCAGAAUUUAGUUCCAGGUACGUGAGAGCUCCUUGUAGAUGUUUUUCAUGGCGAGUCAGCUGGCUUACCAGACCUUGUCUGACUUCUUCCUUUAUCUUCCCAACAGUUCAGCACCUUGGUGCGGUACAGGGUCCCAUUAGCAGGUCUCAUUUCCCACCACUGACUGAACAUCAGCAGGCUCAAUCCACAAGUCAGGGGCUGGGGAUGUCUUGUCAAGAAUUCCCUCUUUAGGGGCAGGAAUGAAAUUUAUAACAACAUCCAUGCUGCUUGAUGGAGCCCUCUCUACAUGGCAGGUGCUUUGCAAGCACUUUCAGAAAAUCUGCACCAAACUGUAUAGUAAGAAUGAUCACUGUCAUUCUACAAGUCAGAAACUUGAAAAUCAGAUUGGUGACGUAUUCAGCUAAUGCACUGCAAAUAAACAGCAGAAGUGAAAUUCAGAUAUCAAGACAUUUGUCCUCAAAGUCUAUGCUUGCAACUAGAUUAUGGCCCUGAUAUCCUAGGGAUGAAUCAGUUUCAGUUUCCCUUCCUGGACCCCCAGCAAGUAGUACAUGGGAAUUAUUCUAGUGCGGUAUAGCGGGGAGCAGUGUAAACAGAUAAACAAGGUUUUCCGGGGCCCUGGUUUAGGCAAAUAAAUCUUACAACAUUAUCUGGCUCUUUCAAGUAGAUUUCAGACUUGGCCUUGUUUUCUAGACUGUUUUGCCCAAUGGAAAAUAGUGUUUGUAUCUUUAGAAGAUGUAUUAUGUGAUUUUCCCCUCUCAAUAUUUUGCAGGGCAGAGAUACUGCUUUGAUCUAUUUUCACAUAAUAAUUAUUAUUUGAGGUCUCAAUUAAGACCAGCAUCUUCAUCUGUGUGGGGCUCUGAGUUAAGGGCUUUCCAUAGACUCACUCUUGCCAUUUCUUCUAACUCCCUUGAGCAGAGGCCAGCAGUAGAGAAACUUGAUAAAUAACACAAGUGCUACAAUCCCUGAGUCCUCUAAGAAAUGAGACACAAAGGAAAGAUCCAGGGACAUUUUCACAGAUGUGCCCAAUUCCAGUGGCCCCAGGUUUCCCACCCUGCUGUUGAUAUUCUGCCACCCAUAGUCAUGAUCAUCUGGCUACAAAACAGCAGGCAGGGCUGUGCAUGAGUGAUGUUACAGGUGGGCUCAUGGCUACAUGGAUGUCUAGACAUGUCUAGGUGUCCAUAUGCAGGAACUGAGGGAAAGUGAGAAGGAGGGAGGGAUGGGUGGACAGAUGGAUAGAUAAAUGGAUGGAAAGGUGGACAAAUGGAUAGAUGCAUGAAUGGAUGGUGAAUUGGUAGGUAAAAUGGAGGGAUGGAUGGAUGGAUGUUUGGAUGGAUAUUUGGAUGGAUGGAUAGAUGGAUGGAUGGAUGGAUGGAUGGAUAGGUGGAUGGAUGGAUGGAUGGAUGAGUGAAUGGCUGAGUGGAUAGGUAGACAGGUGGAUGGAUGGAGAGAUGGAUAAGUGUUUGAUGGAUGAAUAGACACAUACAUGGAUGGAAAGGUGUUUGGGUGGAUGUGUAGGUGGAAAGGUGGAUAGAUAGAUUGAUGGGUGGAUGGAUGGGUAGAUGGACGGAUGGAUCAGUGAAUAGAUGUGUCAAUGAAUAGGGGGAUGUAUCAUUGGAGGGAUGGGUGAGUGGUUUGGUGGAUGAGUAGAUGAAUGGGUGGGUGGGUGGAUGGAUGGAUGGAUGGAUGGAUGGUUGGAUGGAUGGUUAGGUGGAUGAGUGGAUGAGUAGAUGGGUGGAUGGGUGGGUGGAUGGAUGGAUAGAUGGAUGGAUAGAUGGAUAGGUAGAUAAGUAGAUGAUUGAAUGGAUGGAUGGAUGCAUGAAUAAACAGGUUCGUGGAUGAGUGGAUAGAUGGAUGGGUGGAUGUGGGUGGCUGGCUAGAUAUGUAGAUAGAUGCAAAGGUGAAUGCAAAGAGAAGGAUAGAUUUAUGAGGAUGAAAGUGAGAAUUUUUCUCCUUAGGUCAUCAAGGGAAAAUUAAAUCCUUACCCACGGAGACAUCUUUCAUUUGAGUCAGGCGGAGGCUCUCUUUUUCUCUCUCCUGGUGACCAGGACAAAGAGAAAUGCAGGUGUAGAGAGCUCUGAUCAGGGAGCCCUGCCUGCCUCCUGUCCUGGGUGACCUUUACCAAAUCCUCUCCUGUGUUGGGUCUCCCUAACCUUGAUUUUCAAACGGUGGCUUCAGGGCUUUGCCUUUUCUGUGUCUGUGGUUCUCUGUCAUCCAUCAAGUCUCCCAGGGAGUCCCUUCCUGCCUCCCCUCUGUCCCUUUGGUCCCCACUCCAGACCCCAGAUUGGGUUCAGGGUUCCUCUGUAGAAGUCACUGAUGGGAGUCCACACCCUGAAAAUGCCUUUAGUCUUCAUUCCAGCCUCUCCUCUCUGCCAAGUGAGCUGCCCUUGCCGGCAGCAGUCACUUCCUCAUACGGGGAUGUUUGUUCCAGCACACUGAGUAGGCGCUGUCUCCUGAGUGGGAAUUGGCUUGGCACAGGCAACCGUAUGACAUUGUUUCAAAAAGUCAUUCAAAUUAUUUGUCUUGUACAUCCUGUCUGGAAGCACGUAUAUACAUUCCCGCCUCCCCACUGGGCACGCUCUUACCCUUGCCCUGCCAUUCUGGUGCUAGGAGCUGUCUGUGCUGUCCACUGGGUGGACAGAGUUGUCUUCCCCAUGAAAAGAGGAAUCAGGGUUUUCAUGUGUCUCUUAGAAGCCAGGCAUUUGGCACCGGGGCUCAUGAACAGCUGAUUUUUGAAGUGGUCCCAGGGGAAGCUGAGUUGGUGACUGAUAAGAGGAAGGUCUGGGCUGGGUGCGGGGGCUCACGCCUGUAAUCCCAGCACUUUUGGAGGCCGAGGCAGGCAGAUCAGUCAGGAGAUUGAGACCAUCCUGGUCAACAUGGUGAAACCCCGUCUCUACUAAAAAUACAAAAAUUAGCUGGCCAUGGUGGUGCACGCCUGUAAUCCCAGGUACUCAGGAGGCUGAGGCAGGAGAUUCGCUUGAACCCGGGAGGUGGAGGUUGCAGUGAGCCGAGAUCAUGCCACUGCACUCCAGCCUGGGUGACAGAGCGAGACUACAUCUCAAACAAAAAAAAAAAAAAAAAAGAAGAAGAAAGGAAGAAGAAGAAGAAGAACAUCUGAAGAAUUGGGAUACUGAGGCAUCAUCUUCCUUGCUCAGUGGAUUUGCGGUUUCAUACCCUGGAUUUCCUGAAGCUUUGGGGUUUCUUUUUCUCAUUUUUUUUUCUUUGAGAUGGAGUCUUUUUUCUUUAUAAAUUAUCCAGUCUUAGUUAUUUCUUUAUAGCAAUGUGAGAACAAACUAAUGGUGCUGGUCUCCUCAAGGAAACUCCUGCCAUACCCCCUCCCUCAUCUUCUUUCUCUCUCUCUUUUUGUUUUGAGGUGGAGUCUAACUCUCUCGCCCAGGCUGGAGUGCAGUGGUGCGAUCUUGGCUCACUGCCACCUCUGCCUCCCGGGUUCAUGCCAUUCUACUGCC